rnacentral:misc_RNA from 1 species
UUUCCGUAGGUGAACCUGCGGAAGGAUGAUUAUCGAAAUACUUAUUUAGCGUUCCGUGCUAUCCCAUUGUUUUAUUUACCCUGUUGCUUCCACUGGAUGAGUUUCCAUACCUUGUGUUUGAGAAACUUUGGCUUGUGUAAGAUUCAUUCACGGCCAGCCAGUGAGAAGACCAUUUACAAAACCCUGUUAAGAACCAAUUGUCUGAAUAUUUUACUCCAAUGAAAUAAAACUUUCAACAACGGAUCUCUAGGCUCUUGCAUGAUGAAGAACGCAGC